AUCUCCAGGAUACCAGGAGUUAUCAGUUUAGCAGAAGCUUCCCAGAUAGGGAGAGCAUUUCCCGACUUCCCUUGCAGCUAUAGGCGGGACCACGUGACUAAGUUCUGGCCAAUGAGGUGUGAGUGGAAGUGAUAACUUCCGGGUCAUUCCUUAGAAGGAAAGGUGUGCUUCCGGUAGCUUUCCUUCCCUCUGGUGGCCUGGAGUGUGGAAGUGGUGGUGAGUUGGGCGUGCAAAGCCAAAAAAAACAAAAGCAAACAAACAAAAAAAAAAUGAAAACACACGCAGACCAGAGGUGGCUAAGCAGCAAGACAGAGGAGCCCCGCCUGCCCAGGAGCUGUUAAACCAUUUCUGGAUUGUUAGAGAGAGAGAGAGAGAGAGAAGGAGAAGCAGGCUCCAGGCCAGGAGCCCGACGUGGGACUCGAUCCCGGGACUCCAGGAUCGCGCCCUGAGCCAAAGGCAGGUGCUAAACCACUGAGCCACCCAGGGAUCCCCUGGCCUGACUUUAAACUAGGGCUCUUCUCUGGGAAACAAACAAAGGGUAAUAGAAGGGGAGGUGGGCUGGGGGAUGGGGUGACUGGGUGAUGGGCACUGAGGAGGCACUUGACGGGAUGAGCACUGGGUGUUAUAUGAUAUGUUGGCAAAUUGAACUCCAAUAAAAAAAUAAACAAGAACACCCCCAAAAAACAAUAAACUAGGGCUCUUAAAUAUUUUCCCAGAUGCUACUUCAUCUGUUUGAAAAGAGAGCCCAGGGCCUAAAUUUGUGGCUUGCUAACUUGAUUGAACAAAGUUUUGAUAUAGAAUAUUUAAGUGACUAUUUGAUGGGAACAUUUUCUUUUCUGAUUGAGAGAAAACAGGUAGAUAAUUUUAAAAUGAUGUGUUAUUUGAUUUUAUUCUCACCUUCUUCCCUACUAUUUGCUCCUUCUACCGGAUUGACUUCACCAAUUAACAUCUAGUUAAUUUCAAAAUCAUACAUUCAAAAAUUUCAAAAUCCAUAAGUAGAUACUAGCUAAAGACAAACUAAGUGCUACCACAUUCUUCUUGUUGACAGAAGGAAAAAGAAACCCGUCUUGGAUGAAGAAUUUACUGUAUGUAUUUGAUACAACAAUAAUCACUAGUAGGUUGAAAUUGGUUUUGUUUGUUUUUGCUGUUUAAAGAUAUGAAUAAAAAAAAAAAGAGAGAGAGUAAUAAAUUCUAGUCUCCCUUGGAAUUAGGUUGCCAGACAUGAGGGGAGUAAAUUUGCAUUAGGUUACUUUUUUUUUUUUCCCUAAAUGACCAUGAAGAUAACUAGCUCAUCCUUUUCAUUCAUUCAUUCACAAAUAAAACAGAACAUUUAACUGGUAAAUAUGUUUUAUUUGGAAUGCUUUAAUAGUUCUUAGUAUAUAACAUUAAUAUGUAAAGGCCUUAAAGAGUCCAUUAAAACUCUGCACAACAAGCUGUAUUUUAAUAAUGCAGAGACUAUGUGAGAUGGAGGCCAAUUUCUGCCGUUUAGAUAACAUAAGCAAAAACAAUUUGCCUGAAAGAGCUGAAGCUUAUAAGUAAAAGAGGUUUAAAAUGCACAGGUCCUACAGAUGGCAGAACUUAACAGCAGCCUCAGGAGCACAGAAAAAGAAAAGAUAAAACAAAUUCCCUCCAAACCCAGGCUUCUUUCAAGUCUUCUACUCAAAAGAGGAUCUAGGAUGCUAAUGAAUAUUCAACUUUCAGUUUCUUCUAAUAAUAAAUUCCAUUUCUAAAUCUAUGAAGUAAAACAAACUUGCACUAUGUUUAGUUUUUCUCAAAAGAUAAAGUGGUCUUUCAGAUUCCUUUAGGAGUUGAUGGUACUUGACUAUAAAAAGACUUGACACACCGAGUCGGGGUGAAACACUGAGUGCCAUUUUGUCAAUGGCAGUUCCUAACCUCCACUGGUAAGGUGAGCAUUUUGCAGGCUCUUUUCUCUGGAUCAGCAAAACUCGCAAUAUAAAGAAAUCCUCUUCUGCUGGGGCAGAUUUUCAUUUCAAGGAGGAGGAAUGAAUGAGAAAGACAGGUUUUUCUCAUCUUUAUAUUGAACAUCCACAAGUCAAGACCGAGUCCUGCCAUCAUUCCUCAUGCAAACAGAGAGGAAGUUGCCUGAGGCCAUGAAAGCCACUCAUUCAUCACCUGCCACACCACAAUGAUUCUCUGAGCAGACAUCCUGGGCUGGCAUAAUUUGCUUGGCAGCCCUGAGGUCAGCCUGCCUAGUGACUGAAAAUCUUUUCCAUCUUGAAAUGUUACAAGGCAUUGUCCUUUGUAUACAUGGAUGAUGUUCCUGACUCACCAUCCAUGGUGGUGAAUCUGAAGAGCAAAAUGUGACGAUACAGUAGGGCUGAGCAUGAAGGCUGUACAUGGAAGGAAAAUUUCACAAAAUGACAGGAAUUCUUGAAAAACUCUGCACUGUAGAAAGAGCUCUGCAUUAGUCUGUACCUUAGGCUUUUAGAAGCCUGUUCCCAUCCAACCCAAUACCUCCAGCCUCUCUGAUAUUUUUCAUAUAUUGGUCUUAGUUUCUAGGCAGAUUUCUAUUAUCUGGAACAAUUCCAUACAUUGACUCGUACAGGGAUAAAGGAGCAUUAAAUAAUAAUCAUACUCAAGCAUUUUGGGAAAAAUUAAGAAAGGUAUGCCGAUUUUAAUUUUGAAUUUUCUUUUUACUUGUCAGUUCGCCUCUCAGACUUCAUGCCAGCAGGGAAUAAAAUCAUCAUUACCCUCUAGUUGCUCAAUGGGCAUACAUAAAACAAAGAGGGGGCUUAACUCUGAUCUAACUAAGUGGCCUGAUUUCUGCUCUGAAGGAUCCAGCUUCCUGUCCAUUCUCCUAUCAAAUUCAAACCAGAUAGAGCUGCCCAGACACAUACAUUCUGUAGGGAAAGGAGAGCAGUGAAGAAGAAAACAAAAGGAGGUCAGGGAAAGGGAGACCAUCUAUUUAUUUCUGAAGUGGGCAAACUGCAGAUGAUGUCCAUUGGACAGGGUGGUCAGAAUUGAGUGAGAGAGGGAGCAGAUCCUGGAGUCAGCCUCCUGGGGUGCAAACUCAUUUUCUACAACCUCAGUAGACCUUGCGCAAAUAUAUGCAGUGUAAAGAAGAAAAUGAUUCUUGAGGACACUUAUUGUAAAGAGUUCCAAAAUACGUGAGGAAUCAUUGCUCAAUCCAUAUACAGGGAAAGCAUCCUAUUUGACAAAAGCAGUCUUGCCUACUACAUCGUGAGAUCCUUAAAGUCAAGAACCAAUCCUAUAUUAUUUAUUUUUCUUCCUCCAUCACAGAAACCAGCACAUGGACAUCUAGACAUACCGCUUCCUGUGCUAUUUCAUCUGGGUCAUAUUCUCCAGUUUAUAAACCAACCCAAGUCAUCUACCACUUGAAGAAUUGUUUUCUAAGCAUGAAACAAAUGAAAAUUAAUUUCACUAGAAUAAUCAGUUGGAUUUAGCCUGAAACCUAUGAACUCUUCUGAAGAAAACAUAACUAUCUGGGCGAGGAGGGUUUCUCAGCACCAGAUUAAAGUUCAGCAUCACCAACUAUUCUUUUUCCACCUUGGACAUAAUUCAUGAUUUGAGUUUCUGAAGCUCCAUCAAGCAGAACAUUCCUGAGUCUCAGAUUAAGAACUGAUUAAAAAAAAUCCUUCCCAGGUGACCCUUUUUCUACUUUGAUGUUCAACAUGUAUAUCCAAAAGUUCUGGCAGAAGCUGAGUAACCAGCUUCCCAUGACCCAGCCAAGAAACGCUAUAAGGAUCUCAAAGCAUCUCCUGCAGACCUCUACAGCCCCACGGAACACAGGAUCAUCACUACCAGAUGCAUCAUCACUCUAACAUCUUCCAGCCACCCUUGGGCUGGUGUAAACAAUAAGUUCAUGGAGUUUCCUGGAUUUAUCUUCAAGGAUACGCAGAAGAAAUCUAGCUUUUUGAAAACAUAUACUUUGUGGCAUCUAAUGACACUGGAAAAUCCCUAAGAAAAUCUUCCUGGAAUAACUCAGAAAGAUGUACUUUCACCGGGUUUUGUCAGAAAGCCUUCAGCCUUCAUGGAAGAGAAGUAGUAACAGAAAUAACAGAAAUAAAAUCCAUUACAGUUUCUUCAGGAGUGAUGGUACAGAUAUUUUCGAGUUUCAGACACUGUCUCCCACAUGAAACUCCAUGUGAGAAAUGCCUUUUAGUCAUAUUUCUCACGUAUACAAGGAAGCCUCUGCCUUUCCUGAGGGUGUCUCUCUUCUUCAAUAGUAAGAAUUAUGUAACUGAUAAUAUAUUCCCCCUUACUUUGUCUAAUGGGGAGUUCAGAUGCAAGAAUGAGCCUCAAAGAAAGAACCAAGAUGGAACUUAAUGCUUGAUUAUUCAUAUUUUUCCUCUGACCUUACUUAUCUUUAUGAUAUAUAAGGGUGUGUGUGCAUGUAUGUGUGUGUAUAAAAGUCUCUUUAAAUGUGUGUAUUUGUAUAUAUAUAUAUUCAGCCAUUAUUUUCUUACAUAUUCACAUUAGCAGCAGCAAUAAAUCCUUUGUGGCAGAUAGUAUAUGAAUAAAUAUAUAAACAUAUGAACAAAUGUGGCCAAAUAGCAUAUUAGGGUAAACUUUAGCUGUGCUCAUUACUAACAGGAAUGACUAAUAACAGUGGUAUCAUUACUCCUACCAGGAAUGGUAAGCACAUACUACCGUGUGUGGGAGGCAUGUGACGGGUGAGAACUUAAGAAAGCAUACAUGAGCAGGUAAGAGAGCAUAAGGCAAAACUUCUGCCCUCAAGUCCUGAAAUCUAACUGAGAUGUUUGUGUUUAGGCAGGCAAGCCAAGUAGCAGUAUCCAUCCUACAUAAGAAAGGAAGAAAUUCCAACAGACAGAAGGAACAUUGUCAUGACCAUGUCCCUUCAAGAGUAUAAGUCCCCUCCCUCUGCUGUCCCCAGGGAGGCCUAGGCGGACUCACCAUCCUCUCAAAAUCCAGAAUGCUUUUGUCUACAACAGCUUUGAAGGAGACUUCUUAAUCUAAAAAUACUGAUUUGAUACGUACCACAGGAGGGAGAGUUACUUUAUUUUCAGGGACUUUUUUAUUGUAUAUUUUAAAACACUUUAAAAUUUCCCAUUUUUUUUAUUGUGAC